UGCAAACUUGUAAUGAUCCUUCUCCAUUGGAAUAUUAUAAGGAAACCGACAAUGCGGAUUUUGCCAUCAGAAUGAAAUCGGAAGGACAAAAAAUACUCGUCACCAUCUCGUACGAUACAGAUACCAAUUCAGCUGAUAAUUUCUUCAAAAGCCAAUUGACAGAAUGUUUGAUUGACG